UACAGAGGUCCCAAGCGUUUGUUCGGAUUCAUUGGGCGUAAAGGGUGUGUAGGUGGCGCCGUAAGUCGGGUGUGAAAUUUCGGAGCUUAACUCCGAACUGCAUUCGAUACUGCGGUGCUUGAGGACUGGAGAGGAGACUGGAAUUCAUGGUGUAGCAGUAGAAAUGCGUAGAGAUCAUGAGGAAGACCAGUGGCGAAGGCGGGUCUCUGGACAGUUCCUGACACUGAGACACGGAAGGCCAGGGGAGCAAACGGG
rnacentral:rRNA from 1 species